rnacentral:snRNA from 1 species
UGACAGCGAUUGGGGAAACUGUA